rnacentral:rRNA from 1 species
AUUGAACGCUGGCGGCAUGCCUUACACAUGCAAGUCGAACGGCAGCACGGGUGCUUGCACCUGGUGGCGAGUGGCGAACGGGUGAGUAAUACAUCGGAACGUACCUUAUCGUGGGGGAUAACGCAGCGAAAGUUGCGCUAAUACCGCAUAAGCCCUGAGGGGGAAAGCGGAGGACCGUAAGGCCUCGCGCGAUUAGAGCGGCCGAUGUCUGAGUAGCUUGUUGGUGAGGUAAAAGCUCACCAAGGCGAUGAUCAGUAGCUGGUCUGAGAGGACGAUCAGCCACACUGGGACUAAGACACGGCCCAGACUCCUACGGGAGGCAGCAGUGGGGAAUUUUGGACAAUGGGGGCAACCCUGAUCCAGCAAUGCCGCGUGAGUGAAGAAGGCCUUCGGGUUGUAAAGCUCUUUUGUCAGGGAAGAAACAGCAGCUCUAACACAGUCUGCGAAUGACGGUACCUGAAGAAUAAGCACCGGCUAACUACGUGCCAGCCGCCGCAGUAA